AUUGAACGCUGGCGGCAGGCCUAACACAUGCAAGUCGAACGGUAACAGGAAGCAGCUUGCUGCUUUGCUGACGAGUGGCGGACGGGUGAGUAAUGUCUGGGAAACUGCCCGAUGGAGGGGGAUAACUACUGGAAACGGUAGCUAAUACCGCAUAACGUCGCAAGCCCAAAGAGGGGGACCUUAGGGCCUCUUGCCAUGGGGUUUGCCCGGAUGGGAUUCGCUAGUAGGUGGGGUAACGAUCCCCCUAGGCGACGAGCCGUAGCUGGUCUGAGAGGAUGACCAGCCACACUGGAACUGAGACACGGUCCAGACUCCUACGGGAGGCAGCAGUCGGGAAUAUUGCACAAUGGGCGCAAGCCUGAUGCAGCCAUGCCGCGUGUAUGAAGAAGGCCUUCGGGUUGUAAAGUACUUUCAGCGGGGAGGAAGGGAGUAAAGUUAAGACCUUUGCUCAUUGACGUUACCCGCAGAAGAAGCACCGGCUAACUCCGUG
rnacentral:rRNA from 1 species